UGUUGCUGGCCCAGCACCGACUGUGGUGAACACAACCAUGCUUGGCCACCUCCAACUAUAUGCUGACAAAGUCCGUCCGUCCACUCCUGACUCCAUCAAGCCAGCCUGCCCUUUCUUUGUCACCAGUAAGGUUAAACCUGUUUGGGUGGCACAAGAUCUGGGCAGGCACUGGUUUCUUGUCACUGGGGUCAGGAGGAUAGUGACACCCACCCUAAUUAGAAAAACUAUUGCGACGAAGAACCCAAGAACGAUGUCGAGCCAGUGCAUCUUGAACUCCAAUCGCUGAUGAAUCCAUGCACUUCUCGUGGUGGUGGGUGCCUCACUCAAUAAUGUUUUUGAGAACGCACUGAAGUGGGG